AUUAAGGUCCUCUGGAUUGUAAACUUCUUUUAUAUGGGACGAAAAAAGGUCUUUCUAGACCCCUUGACGGUACCAUAUGAAUAAGCACCGGCUAACUCCGUGCCAGCAGCCGCGGUAAUACGGAGGGUGCAAGCGUUAUCCGGAUUCACUGGGUUUAAAGGGUGCGUAGGCGGGUAGGUAAGUCAGUGGUGAAAUCCUGGAGCUCAACUCCAGAACUGCCAUUGAUACUAUCUGUCUUGAAUAUUGUGGAGGUAAGCGGAAUAUGUCAUGUAGCGGUGAAAUGCUUAGAUAUGACAUAGAACACCUAUUGCGAAGGCAGCUUACUACGCAUAUAUUGACGC
rnacentral:rRNA from 1 species